GGGGAAUUUUCCGCAAUGGGCGAAAGCCUGACGGAGCAAUACCGCGUGAGGGAGGAAGGCUCUUGGGUCGUAAACCUCUUUUCUCAGGGAAGAAAAAAAUGACGGUACCUGAGGAAUAAGCAUCGGCUAACUCCGUGCCAGCAGCCGCGGUAAUACGGAGGAUGCAAGCGUUAUCCGGAAUGAUUGGGCGUAAAGCGUCCGCAGGUGGCGAUGUAAGUCUGCUGUUAAAGAGUCUAGCUCAACUAGAUAAAAGCAGUGGAAACUACAUACGCUAGAGUACGUUCGGGGCAGAGGGAAUUCCUGGUGUAGCGGUGAAAUGCGUAGAGAUCAGGAAGAACACCAGUGGCGAAGGCGCUCUGCUAGGCCGUAACUGACACUGAGGGACGAAAGCUAGGGGAGCGAAUGGGAUUAGAUACCCCAGUAGUCCUAGCCGUAAACGAUGGAUACUAGGCGUGGCUUGUAUCGACCCGAGCCGUGCCGUAGCUAACGCGUUAAGUAUCCCGCCUGGGGAGUACGCCGGCAACGGUGAAACUCAAAGGAAUUGACGGGGGCCCGCACAAGCGGUGGAGUAUGUGGUUUAAUUCGAUGCAACGCGAAGAACCUUACCAAGGCUUGACAUGUCGCGAAUCUUCUUGAAAGGGAAGAGUGCCUUCGGGAGCGCGAACACAGGUGGUGCAUGGCUGUCGUCAGCUCGUGUCGUGAGAUGUUGGGUUAAGUCCCGCAACGAGCGCAACCCUCGUUUUUAGUUGCCAGCAUUAAGUUGGGCACUCUAGAGAGACUGCCGGUGACAAACCGGAGGAAGGUGGGGAUGACGUCAAGUCAGCAUGCCCCUUACGCCUUGGGCUACACACGUACUACAAUGCUCCGGACAGAGGGCAGCAAGCGGGCGACCGCAAGCAAAUCCCGGAAACCGGAGCUCAGUUCAGAUCGCAGGCUGCAACUCGCCUGCGUGAAGGAGGAAUCGCUAGUAAUUGCAGGUCAGCAUACUGCAGUGAAUUCGUUCCCGGGCCUUGUACACACCGCCCGUCACACCAUGGAAGCUGGUAGUGCCCGAAGUCAUUACUCCAACCUUUCGGGGGGGAGGAUGCCUAAGGCAGGACUGGUGACUGGGGUGAAGUCGUAACAAGGUAGCCGUACCGGAAGGUGUGGCUGGAUCACCUCCUUUUUAGGGAGACCUACACCCCUUACAUAUCGAAAAGCACACAGUUAAAUAGAUAGUAAGUUGGUCUAACCUUAGGUCGGUCGCAGAUAUUUGCAAUAUGUUGAACGCUUUCAAACUAUGAUGAAGGUUCGUUUAUGGGCUAUUAGCUCAGGUGGUUAGAGCGCACCCCUGAUAAGGGUGAGGUCCCUGGUUCGAGUCCAGGAUGGCCCACCUGAAAACAGUGAACAGUGAAGAGUAAACAGAGAUCAGGGAAAAAACUGAUAACUGGUAACUGAUAACUGACAUCUGAAUUUUGGGGGUUUAGCUCAGUUGGUAGAGCGCCUGCUUUGCAAGCAGGAUGUCAGCGGUUCGAGUCCGCUAACCUCCACCUGUGGCGAUUGCCAUUGAUAAAGUAAAAAUAUUGAGAAAUCAGCAACAUGACAAAAUUUGUCAGACUGCUGGGUUAUUUCUCAGCCAGAACCUUGAAAACUGCAUAGUAACGCGAAAAAAGCAGGCAGACACAGAUAAUCUUUACAGAUGUUUUUGUGAAUGCAAGUGAUAAAAAGACCAAAAAUUUGAGUGGUCAAGCGAAUAAGGGCUAACGGUGGAUACCUAGGCACACAGAG
rnacentral:rRNA from 1 species